rnacentral:lncRNA from 8 species
GACCUGAACCACAGACAGUUUCAAGUCUUACCCCACUCUUAUCCCAACCUUACCAAAGUUAAGUUCACUGUAAACUACACAUUACAAAAAAGCAGCACUGUAACCCAAAAUGAUGAACAAACAGCUCCUGUUAUGUUGUUUUUACAUCAGGGCCUAUCGCUGCCUGUGUUGUCCUUUCUGCCAUGGCCAUCGUGUGACUAACUGGUUGGGCGUUCAGGAUCAUGCCUGUUUAUUGGAGUCGCGUAAGGACAUUAUGUAGCCCUGGUACAGGCAUGUCCCUGGGGAGAGUGUUUUAUGGACAUCCAGCUUGGCACAGCAGAUGGACAUAAAAGAACCGCUUACUGUUUGAGGUCCCCUGUUCCCACAACUGCGCAGAGCAAGGUCAGGAUACUGCUACAGAUGAGGGGAGGGGAGAGGACAACUCUUCCAUCGCUCUGCGAGAACAACAGAGAGUGGCUCCCAGCCAUUCCACUGUGUUAGGAGCCUUGGUACAGAGUCAACUGUACCGUCGCUGACAGGCCUGUUGGGUCACCCUAGGUCUGACGAGAGAGAAGAGAAAAGAUGAAGCGAAGAAUGAAGAAAGAUGGCUUAAGGAAGAGAGAGAGAGAGGGAGAGAGGGAGAAGGGGUAAAGGUCAGCUUGAGGUAUUCCCCAGGUCAUUGCAGUAAAUGAGAAUGUAUUCUCAGUUGACUUACCUGGUAAAAUAAAG